rnacentral:rRNA from 1 species
CCUACGGGUGGCAGCAGUCGAGAAUUAUUCACAAUGGGGGAAACCCUGAUGGUGCGACGCCGCGUGGGGGAAUGAAGGUCUUCGGAUUGUAAACCCCUGUCAUGUGGGAGCAAAUUAAAAAGAUCGUACCACAAGAGGCAGAGACGGCUAACUCUGUGCCAGCAGCCGCGGGAAUACAGAGGUCUCAAGCGUUGUUCGGAAGCACUGGGCGUAAAGCGUGCGUAGGCUGUUUCGUAAGUCGUGUGUGAAAGGCGCGGGCUCAACCCGCGGACGGAACAUGAUACUGCGAGACUAGAGUAAUGGAGGGGGAACCGGAAUUCUCGGUGUAGCAGUGAAAUGCGUAGAUAUCGAGAGGAACACUCGUGGCGAAGGCGGGUUCCUGGACAGUAACUGACGCUGAGGCACGAAGGCCAGGGGAGCGAAAGGGAUUAGAUACCCUAGUAGUC